CACCCCUGGAACUCCUGUAGCAGAAAAAAGGAAUUUCACCUCAAUGCAUCAACACACUUGUCUACCUGAAAUACAACGUGAGCCCUGACCAAGUAAAAAUCGUAUUGACAGUCGGAUUGUCCCACAAGCUUGUUUUAACCAAUACCCUGCACAGCAAAGG